rnacentral:rRNA from 1 species
UGGCGCACGGGUGCGUAACGCGUAUGCAACCUACCUUCAAUUGGGGGAUAACUCUGGGAAACUGGAAUUAAUACCGCAUAAGAUAGUAAUGCUUCAUGGCAUAGCUAUUAAAGAUUUAUCGAUUGAAGAUGGGCAUGCGUGACAUUAGUUAGUUGGKGGGGUAACGGCUCACCAAGACUUCGAUGUCUAGGGGUUCUGAGAGGAUGAYCCCCCACACUGGUACUGAGAUACGGACCAGACUCCUACGGGAGGCAGCAGUAGGGAAUAUUGGUCAAUGGACGCAAGUCUGAACCAGCCAUGCCGCGUGCAGGACGAAGGCCCUCUGGGUUGUAAACUGCUUUUGUAUAGGAAGAAACGCUCCGACGUGUCGGAGUUUGACGGUACUAUAAGAAUAAGGAUCGGCUAACUACGUGCCAGCAGCCGCGGUAAUACGUAGGAUCCAAGCGUUGUCCGGAUUUAUUGGGUUUAAAG